GAUUGUUCUAUUGAAAAGGUGAUAGUUCGCGUUCCCGGUGUGAUAACAAGAAGAAGCACGUAUUUGAAAUCGAAGGAAAUCGAGGUUGAGCGGCGAUGGGCGGUCGGUUGUGUUGAGGCAGUUGAAUCGAAUAAUAUGGAUGGUUGAAAUUUUGAGUGUAGUCGUGUCUUCAUACAUGGCUUCGCUUUCUCUUGGA